AGCAGCAUGGCGCAGUUGGAAGCGCGCAGGGCCCAUAUAUAUACUCAUGUACAUAGGUCACCCUGAGGUCACUUGAUCGAAACAAGUUGCUGCUA